rfam:Triticum aestivum genome assembly, contig: Triticum_aestivum_CS42_TGACv1_scaffold_178283_2DS
AUACUACUUCCUCCGUCCCAAAAUUCUUGUCUUAGAUUCGUCUAGAUACGGAUGUAUCUAAUAAAACGUGACUUGAUACAUCCGUAUCUAGACGAAUCUAAGACAAGAAUUUUAGGACGGAGGGAGUAUUUU